rnacentral:rRNA from 1 species
UCAUCAUGCCCUUUAUGACUUGGGCUACACACGUGCUACAAUGGCAGAUACAGAGGGCAGCGAAAGAGUGAUCUGAAGCGAAACUCACAAAAUCUGUCCCAGUUCGGAUUGUACUCUGCAACUCGAGUACAUGAAGUUGGAGUUGCUAGUAAUCGCGAAUCAGAAUGUCGCGGUGAAUGCGUUCCCGGGUCUUGUACACACCGCCCGUCACACCAUGGGAGUUGGCAAUACCCGAAGCCUGUGAGCGAACCAUUAGGACGCAGCAGUCGAAGGUAGGGUCAGUAACUGGGGUGAAGUCGUAACAAGGUAGCCGUAUCGGAA